rnacentral:rRNA from 1 species
AGAACGAACGUUAGCGGCGCGCCUAACACAUGCAAGUCGUGCGGGAAAGGGCUUCGGCCCCGGUAAAGCGGCGCACGGGUGAGUAACACGUAGGUAAUCUUCCCUCGAGUGGUGGAUAACCCUCCGGAAAGGAGGGCUAAUACAGCAUGAGACCACGACCUCGCUGAGGUUGCGGCAAAAGUGGCCUCUACAUGUAAGCUUACGCUUGAGGAUGAGCCUGCGCCCAUCAGCUAGUGUAGGUAAUGGCCUACCAAGGCAUAGACGGGUAGCUGGUCUGAGAGGACUGAACAGCCACACUGGAACUGAGACACGGUCCAGACUCCUACGGGAGCAGCAGUGGGAAUCUUGCGCAAGUGGGACGAAAGCCUGACGCAGCGACGCCGCGUGAGCGAUGAAGGUCCGUUCGGUUAGUAAGCUCGUGGUGGGAAGGAAGAAGUAAGG